rnacentral:rRNA from 1 species
AACGAACGCUGGCGGCAGGCUUAACACAUGUAAGUCGAGCGCCCCGCAAGGGGAGCGGCAGACGGGUGAGUAACGCGUGGGAAUCUACCCAUCUCUACGGAAUAACGCAUGGAAACGCGUGCUAAUACCGUAUACGUCCUUCGGGAGAAAGAUUUAUCGGAGAUGGAUGAGCCCGCGUUGGAUUAGCUAGUUGGUGGGGUAAAGGCCUACCAAGGCGACGAUCCAUGGCUGGUCUGAGAGGAUGAUCAGCCACACUGGGACUGAGACACGGCCCAGACUCCUACGGGAGGCAGCAGUGGGGAAUAUUGGACAAUGGGCGCAAGCCUGAUCCAGCCAUGCCGCGUGAGUGAUGAAGGCCCUAGGGUUGUAAAGCUCUUUCACCGGUGAAGAUAAUGACGGUAACCGGAGAAGAAGCCCCGGCUAACUUCGUGCCAGCCGCCGCCGUAACAC